rnacentral:rRNA from 1 species
UCUUAGUUCGUGGAGUGAUCUGUCUGCUUAAUUGCGUUUCAAAUAUAUUUUAUUAUAUAACGAGUCUACAAAGGAGUGGUUCAUUAACAGACAAUCAUAUCUUUGAGCGUCUGGAAUCUACUCUAUUUGGCUCAAUUGAACGCAACGGACGUGAUCGCGAGUCCUUGUUGAACUUCAGUAUAUAUUGACUAUCCCCGUAGGAAGGGAUUGGCAAUAAUUGAAUGUUCGCUUUCUAUUAGGUGUGUAUAUAUAGUCUCAAAAUUGCAUGUAUUUGUAAUGGCGAGUAAUAUGUACUAUCCUAUAGGAAAACUCGGGCGACCGCUGUAAUAUUUCUCUUUAAAACAGAGGAAGAUUGCGGCAAUAACAGGUCUGUGAUGCCCUCAGAUGUCCCGGGCCGCACACGUGCUACAUUGAUUAGCGCAGUGCGCAUACUUUCAAUAUGAUACAUUAGAUUGGAUUGUUCUGUUGAGCUCCAUCUAAUACUAUCCGGCUUGAGAAGGCUGGGUAAUCAAUUGUAAGUGCUGGUUCCUCCUCCCGUUGAGCAUUUUAAUAAUGGCCUCUCUACAUCCCUAGCAAUAUGCCUAGUGCGAUUGUAGUUGAGCCUUGCCAUUUAUGCAAGUGUC